GUACACUCCUACGGGAGGCAGCAGUGGGGAAUAUUGCACAAUGGGCGCAAGCCUGAUGCAGCCAUGCCGCGUGUAUGAAGAAGGCCUUCGGGUUGUAAAGUACUUUCAGCGGGGAGGAAGGCGAUAAGGUUAAUAACCUUGUCGAUUGACGUUACCCGCAGAAGAAGCACCGGCUAACUCCGUGCCAGCAGCCGCGGUAAUACGGAGGGUGCAAGCGUUAAUCGGAAUUACUGGGCGUAAAGCGCACGCAGGCGGUCUGUCAAGUCGGAUGUGAAAUCCCCGGGCUCAACCUGGGAACUGCAUUCGAAACUGGCAGGCUAGAGUCUUGUAGAGGGGGGUAGAAUUCCAGGUGUAGCGGUGAAAUGCGUAGAGAUCUGGAGGAAUACCGGUGGCGAAGGCGGCCCCCUGGACAAAGACUGACGCUCAGGUGCGAAAGCGUGGGGAGCAAACAGGAUUAGAAACCCUGGUAGUCCCA
rnacentral:rRNA from 1 species